UACGUAGGGUGCAAGCGUUUGUCCGGAAUUAUUGGGCGUAAAGAGCUCGUAGGCGGUCUGUCGCGUCUGCUGUGAAAACUCAGGGCUUAACCCUGAGCUUGCAGUGGGUACGGGCAGACUAGAGUGCGGUAGGGGAGACUGGAAUUCCUGGUGUAGCGGUGAAAUGCGCAGAUAUCAGGAGGAACACCGAUGGCGAAGGCAGGUCUCUGGGCCAUUACUGACACUGAGAAGCGAAAGCAUGGGGAGCGAACAGG
rnacentral:rRNA from 1 species